UCCAUAAUUACUUCUUGACAGGUGUAGAACUAUUCUAAAAUGUACUAAUGCUUGAACAUUAUAUUACCACUUAAUCCUACAGCAAAGCCCAGACUUCCUGAACUCUUCCUCUAAUGCAUAUAACAAAAGCUCAGCUCAAGUAGCAAGCUCCUUCCCCUGACACCUUCAUUCUCUUAUAGAGAUUCUCCACGGCUACCCAUUAUGGGUAAUCUCUCUUGAUGCCACAAGUACCAACUAACCCAACUUUGUGACUUAUAAGUACAUUCCAACUGAUCUUUGGUUGAAUGGCUGAAAGUUCCCAGGAGGCUUGGGGGUUUUCUCUUCCUCCUUCACAAUGUAAAUGUCUACUGAACUCUGAGCUGCAAUUACCAUCUGAUCACUUAAAUUUAUUUAUUAUGUUUUAGUUAUUAUGGUUGUAUAGCAAACCAUCUUUUGUCUCACAUAAAAAUGUAUUUUCACAAAUCUGCAGGAAGGUUAGGCCUUAGAAAAUACAGCUCAUCUCUGCU
rnacentral:lncRNA from 10 species